AUACAUGAAAGAGAAGUUUGAGAAAGAAAGAACUCAGAAUGAUUCUACAAACACCAAAUGGCAGUAAGAGCUUUUUUUAACAGGGGAACAAAAUGUGAAAGGCAAGCAAAAGGGAGGAAGAAGCCACCAAACAUUCAAACAAAACAGGAAAAGGAAAACUCUGAGUUUAUUGUUUUGCUGUUCUUGGGAAAUGCAACUACACACACACCAAACAGGGAUAAUCAAGUAAGGAUUGUGAGUUUUAAAAUGGAAGUAAAAACCAAAAUCAAAGCCAAAACCAGGCAAAUGCUGAGAAACCAGUUAAAAGAGAGAGAGAGAAUGAUGUUGUGGUGACAGGCUUUUUGUCUAGUCCAAUAAGUAUAAGGUAGAAAAAAGAGAAGAAGAAGGUGAAGGAGGGAAGAAGGGAAUUAUGAAAGAGAAUACUAAAAAUGAAUUUCUUUUUGGGUUUUGAAGAUGGGAAGCUAAGAAGUGGGUAUAAUGGAUGAUGUGGGUCAGAUCUGAAAUAGGAUUAUUUUAUUCUCUCUUUGGUUUGUUUUUCUUUUUUCACAGAGUUUGAUGUGAAGAAGAAAAGAAGGAAGAUAAUGGGGGCUGGUGGACCUCUCCCUCUACUUUGAGGGAAGAGCAUGUGGUGUCUGUCAGAAAAGUGGAACAAAAUUUAAGAAAGUGGGAUUUUUUAUUUUCAUUUUUCUUUUAUAAAACUACUUCCAAAACAAACCCCUUUCUUCAACUCUAAUCUCUCUCCCCCUAACAUCCAUUCCCAAACAAAUCUCCUCUCUUUUUAUAGAAUACCCACACAUAUAGAAUCAUCUGCUUCUUUCUUAUCAUCAAUAUAACUCUAUUCAUAUAAACUUAUAACAUCUUAUAUAUCUAUAAUAUGUCAUACCACUUGUAUUCUCUACAUUACCAUUUAACUAUUCUGACCUCUUUUUUCCUACUCUACUAUUAAGAAACUAUAAUUUCUCGAACCUGGCUUGUAUAAAAUACGAACAUACCCAAUUUUCAUUCCAUAUAUUAUCUCUCAUUGUAAGCCCCUAAAAAGGGAUUUAAAAAAAAAAUAAGUGUUGAAAUCUUGACAGGUAAGCAACUUUAUGGUGUACAAAACCAACCCAUGUUAUAUAUGUUAAACUUAAUAAAGCAAAAUCUUCUUCAUAA